UAUUCCCACGACGGACGUGAUCGCGGACGGAUUAGUCACGUGACGUGUGACGUGGUUCGGAUCUCUCCGCAGCCAGCAUUCACACGACAGGGGAGAACUCACGCUACAUGCGAGGAUUUCGGCAUUGCUCCCCGAGGAUCCCAACUGUGAUUUGGGCCUCCGUCAUUUCACGAAUCGCUCCGCGCGGUCCGAAGCGGGAACGCGGGAACGGCUGACGUAUGGUGACGUAGUACGCAAUCCGCAGGCUCGAAUCGCGAUUUCGUCCGUCGUGUGAAUACAGCUUUACCGGACCACGCAGCGGGC
rnacentral:lncRNA from 1 species